AAUAGCUGUUAGUUAUAACUCACCGACACAGAUUUGAUGCCACUGAUAAUAUCCUCAGGGUUACAGGUGGGAGGCUACCAAAACAACAAUUUAGUUAGGGGCCCAAUAAAGAGCAAACACCGCCUGUACUGCACCAGCAUCUCAGAGUGCAGUGGAAACAAUGUUGUCUGAAUACCAUGCAACCAUGGGGAUCACAGAAGAUGAACAUCCCAAGAUUGGUGUGUACAGAAAGCCACGCAAGGGCAAUGUAUCGUGUGCUAGAAUGUUAAAUCCACGGUGGGUGCAGGAGAACUCCAGUGGAAUGCAGAGUUGACACUGUGGACACUGUUGACUCACUCCCCAAAUAAAAGACAACAGUCUCGCCUAUAAGAGACCCCUCACUGAGACCUAACACUUUGUGCUCCUGAGGAAGCAGCUUUACAGGAUCUUUCCUGGAAGCCAAUCUGAGGACACAUCCAGCUGCAGAUGCUCUUUUGUUUCUCAACAUCUCAACAUCAAGCUAUGCAAUGGGUGGCGUCAAAAGAAACUUUCUUCUGUACACAUUGUGCUGCUGUUAUGUGAUCCCACACUAUCUUUGCACAGGACUUCAU